GGCGGCUGGUAGCCCUCGGUGGCAUCCGCGGUCUGGGUGAAGGGCGGCUGCUGGUAGCUGUCGUGGCUGAUGUUGGGGUAACUGGAGUACGGCGUGGAGACCUCCGGCGAGGGGUCGACGUAGCUGUGUGCAAAGUCCUCCACCCCCAUCUUAUACCGCUUGUAGGCGAAGGUGAUCAGGAGGCCCCACGAGAAGAUGGAGAAGAAGCUGAAGGUGAUGGCGGCACGCGCCGAGUCGGCCACGAUGCGCACGUCCUCAUCGUGCGUCCAGGCCCACUGGUUGGUCAGGAAGCAGAAACCGACGAACCAAAGGAAGGUCCAGAGCCCCGAGAAGCCGAGGUCGGCCAGCACCAGGUACUUGCGGUCGGUGGCGUUGCUGAUCUGCGGGAAGUAGACGUCCACCAUGAAGAAGAAGAUGCAGGCCAGGAAGGCGAGCACGCCGAUGCCGAUGCCGUAACGGCAGGCAUCCUCGUUGCGGUUGAAGACGCAGUAGAGCUGCGAGGAGCUGGACGAGUUGGUGUAGCCCUCCCCGACCAGGCAGGCGAACACGAUCAGGGCGAACACCGCGCUGACGAUGCGCGCCAGGACCUGCGGCUGCUGCACGAAGCGCAGCGGAUCGAAGGCACCGCCGGCUUUGGCCGCCCCGUACGCGCCGCCGCCCUCCAUCGCGCCGCCGCCGCGCUACGGCCGCUCCUGCGCGGCACCGCCCCGCGAGGGCCGGGCCGGGCGCUGCCGCCGCCGCCGCCGCC
rnacentral:lncRNA from 1 species